rnacentral:rRNA from 1 species
GUGGGGAAUUUUGGACAAUGGGCGCAAGCCUGAUCCAGCGACGCCGCGUGGAGGACGAAGGCCUUCGGGUUGUAAACUCCUUUUGGAGGGGAAGAAUAAAUUGACGGUACCCUCAGAAAAAGCCACGGCUAACUACGUGCCAGCAGCCGCGGUAAUACGUAGGUGGCGAGCGUUACUCGGAAUUACUAGGCGUAAAGCGUAUGUAGGUGGUUAGAUAAGUCUAUGGUGAAAUUUCCUGGCUUAACUGGGAAGGGACAUAGAUACUAUCUGGCUUGAGUGUGGGAGGGGGAGACGGAAUUCCUGGUGUAGCGGUGAAAUGCGUAGAUAUCAGGAGGAACACCGAUGGCGAAAGCAGUCUCCUGGCCCAAUACUGACACUGAGGUACGAAAGCUAGGGUAGCAAACAGGAUUAGAUACCCCGGUAGUCC